rnacentral:rRNA from 1 species
UACGAGGGGUGCAAGCGUUAUCCGGAAUUAUUGGGCGUAAAGGGCUCGUAGGCGGUUUGUCGCGUCGGGAGUGAAAACUCAGGGCUCAACCCUGAGCGUGCUUCCGAUACGGGCAGACUAGAGGUAUGCAGGGGAGAACGGAAUUCCUGGUGUAGCGGUGGAAUGCGCAGAUAUCAGGAGGAACACCGGUGGCGAAGGCGGUUCUCUGGGCAUUACCUGACGCUGAGGAGCGAAAGCAUGGGGAGCGAACAGG